rnacentral:rRNA from 1 species
ACGGGUGAGUAACACGUGAGCAACCUGCCCCUGACUCUGGGAUAAGCGCUGGAAACGGCGUCUAAUACUGGAUAUGUGACGUGAUCGCAUGGUCUGCGUCUGGAAAGAAUUUCGGUUGGGGAUGGGCUCGCGGCCUAUCAGCUUGUUGGUGAGGUAAUGGCUCACCAAGGCGUCGACGGGUAGCCGGCCUGAGAGGGUGACCGGCCACACUGGGACUGAGACACGGCCCAGACUCCUACGGGAGGCAGCAGUGGGGAAUAUUGCACAAUGGGCGCAAGCCUGAUGCAGCAACGCCGCGUGAGGGAUGACGGCCUUCGGGUUGUAAACCUCUUUUAGCAGGGAAGAAGCGAAAGUGACGGUACCUGCAGAAAAAGCGCCGGCUAACUACGUGCCAGCAGCCGCGGUAAUACGUAGGGCGCAAGCGUUAUCCGGAAUUAUUGGGCGUAAAGAGCUCGUAGGCGGUUUGUCGCGUCUGCUGUGAAAUCCGGAGGCUCAACCUCCGGCCUGCAGUGGGUACGGGCAGACUAGAGUGCGGUAGGGGAGAUUGGAAUUCCUGGUGUAGCGGUGGAAUGCGCAGAUAUCAGGAGGAACACCGAUGGCGAAGGCAGAUCUCUGGGCCGUAACUGACGCUGAGGAGCGAAAGGGUGGGGAGCAAACAGGCUUAGAUACCCUGGUAGU